rnacentral:rRNA from 1 species
AACGAACGCUGGCGGCAUCCCUAACACAUGCAAGUCGAACGAGACCUUCGGGUCUAGUGGCGCACGGGUGCGUAACGCGUGGGAACCUGCCCUUAGGUUCGGAAUAACUCCCUGAAAGGGGUGCUAAUACCGGAUAAUGUCUUCGGACCAAAGAUUUAUCGCCUUUGGAUGGGCCCGCGUUGGAUUAGCUAGUUGGUAGGGUAAAAGCCUACCAAGGCGACAAUCCAUAGCUGGUCUGAGAGGAUGAUCAGCCACACUGGGACUGAGACACGGCCCAGACUCCUACGGGAGGCAGCAGUGGGGAAUAUUGGACAAUGGGCGAAAGCCUGAUCCAGCAAUGCCGCGUGAGUGAUGAAGGCCUUAGGGUUGUAAAGCUCUUUUACCCGGGAUGAUAAUGACAGUACCGGGAGAAUAAGCUCCGGCUAACUCCGUG